GCUUUACAUUCUGGUAUCACGUCUAUGGGGAUGAUAUAGGAACCUUAGAGAUCCUCAUCUAUGACACCAUCUCGGAGAUAUCGACUACCAUCUGGCAGGCGAAAGCUCAUGAGAAUAUAUGGCAUUAUUCACGUGCAUCGAUCAUACCAUCGCAUCCAUACCAGAUCGUGGUGAGUGCCACCCUCGGGACUGGUAACUACGGUGACAUUGCAAUAGAUGAUCUCUCACUCCUCGAUGAUUCCUGCACCAGACCAGGUUUCUGCGAUUUCGAGCAAGAUAAAUGUGGAUGGACGGAUGAAAGAGAAACAGAUACUAAGGAUUGGUUACGCAAUAACGGCGUAACUCCAUCACCAUA